rnacentral:rRNA from 1 species
CGCCAGACUCCUACGGGAGGCAGCAGUGGGGAAUAUUGCGCAAUGGGCGAAAGCCUGACGCAGCGACGCCGCGUGAGGGAUGGAGGUCUUCGGACCGUAAACCUCUGUCAGCAGGGAAGAACGGUCACUGUGCUAAUCAGCAGUGAAUUGACGGUACCUGCAAAGGAAGCUCCGGCUAACUACGUGCCAGCAGCCGCGGUAAUACGUAGGGAGCGAGCGUUAUCCGGAAUUAUUGGGUGUAAAGGGUGCGUAGACGGGAAAGCAAGUUAGUUGUGAAAUCCCUCGGCUUAACUGAGGAACUGCAACUAAAACUACUUUUCUUGAGUGCAGGAGAGGUAAGUGGAAUUCCUAGUGUAGCGGUGAAAUGCGUAGAUAUUAGGAGGAACACCAGUGGCGAAGGCGACUUACUGGACUGUAACUGACGUUGAGGCACGAAAGUGUGGGGAGCAAACAGGAUUAGAUACCCCGGUA